GUGCUCGCUUCAGCAGUACAUAUACUAAAAUUGGAAUGAUACAGAGAGGGUUAACAUGGCCCCUGUGCAAAGAUGACACAGAAAUUCGUGAAGCAUUCCAUAUAUUU
ensembl:snRNA U6 U6 spliceosomal RNA